rnacentral:lncRNA from 1 species
GUUGAUGAGCAGAGAUUUCCUCGGUUAUCAGGUUGGUUGCAAGACUUUUCAGGUGUUCCAAUUAUUAAAGAAAACUUCCCACCUCAUGAUAAAUUAGUCACCAGGUUCCGCAUCUUCCGGGAGAAAUUCAUCUCAGCUGCAGCUGCAUCCAAAUGAUUCACACUCUCAAUUGUUUCAGUGCAAAUGCUUGUACUACUAUAAGCAUUAUGAAAUAAGCAAGCAUUAAGAGUGAAUAGAAGGAUAUGUUUUCUAAACUAAUAUGAUAUUGUAAUAUUUUAGCGAAAUAAGAUAACAAUAUUUAGCCUUCUCAGGCCAAUUAUAUCCAUUAAUUUAAUUGAGUGAUGCCUAUUAAUUUGUUGUCUUAUUUAAACCCCAAGUUUCUUUUUUCUUCUAUAUAAAUAAAUGAAAGUAGAUGGAACAUUAAACAGACACCUAAUAUAGUAAAACUCCGGAGACAAGUGAGAUUUGCAUAUGAGUAUAUAUGCAACUGAGAAAACUCCACAUAACAACUAUUCCUUUGAAUAAUCUAUAUUCGAAGGAAAUUGUUUUCUCCUUUGUUUCUUUCUUCCUUUCUUCAAUAAGCAGCACGUGAAAAGGAAAUAUUCACAAUAAAACAGCCUUUUUUUCUCUUUGUUAGUUUCAAUCAAAACAAUAAUUCUGCAGACUCACAUCCAAGAAGCAGCUAUCUUAGGGGCACAAAUAUAUACACACUCAUAAUAAGAAUAUUAUAAGCAAUAGUUAAGACAUAAAUUGAAGUAACAUAUGAGCAUGCAUAGGAAUAUGGUAUUUAACCAGGAGAUCUGCAGCACAGGUUAAGCGAAUUAUCUCCAGCUUUCUUUCUCCAAGUUAAGGUCUCCAUACUGCUGUCAAAAGCCACCUUCAAUCAACAAGUAUUAAAAAAACAUCAACAAACUUAUAAUAAAUUCAUCCUGAAUGAGAAUCAAUGGACCUGGCACAUUAAAAAAAAAUUACACAGCUUCAAUCUUUUUUAAGAUAUCUGUAAUUAGAUUUGUCUAGUACGAGAGAACUGAAGUGAACAGGAACAUUUGCAUCAACUCCAUUAUCUUUUAGGUUCCUAGGACAAAAUUAUCCCAAUUGAUCAUUGCAUCAGCUAUAAACUUCACAACCAUAGUGCAGAACACUUUAAUGCCAGAAUGCAGGACCAACCAAUCUAAGAAAUUUUCUUUUCAACCUAUUAAGUUUGCUUUCCUUUUCCACACGUUGAGAAGCUUAUAAAUUGAGAAUACAGAACUAUCAUGAGAACAGUAAUGCAGUCAGCUAGCGUAUAGGUGCAGUCCAGGACUUGUGGUAACUUCCAGCCUAGAACAAGAUUCAUCUACAAAAGUUGUUCUUUAAUAUCUCUAUGGUGCAUCUUUUCCUCAUUGACAUUACUACACAAUGGAACUGAGUGUCUUGUUGCUCAUGAGCCAAAUCUUGAGAUUAAACCUAAGACAAUGUGCAAAGAAUUCAAUCCACCUGCUACUCUUAAUUACUAGGAGUUGUCUAGUUGAUCAUGAGACGUUAAGCUGCCCCGACAGUCUGCAAACAAAUAAAC